rnacentral:rRNA from 1 species
AUUGAACGCUGGCGGCAUGCCUUACACAUGCAAGUCGAACGGUAACAGGUCUUCGGAUGCUGACGAGUGGCGAACGGGUGAGUAAUACAUCGGAACGUGCCUAGUAGUGGGGGAUAACUACUCGCAAGAGUGGCUAAUACCGCAUGAGAUCUACGGAUGAAAGCAGGGGAUCGCAAGACCUUGUGCUACUAGAGCGGCCGAUGGCAGAUUAGGUAGUUGGUGGGAUAAAAGCUUACCAAGCCGACGAUCUGUAGCUGGUUUGAGAGGACGAUCAACCACACUGGGAAGGAUACACGGCCCAGGCUCCUACGGUGGGCAGCAGUGGUGAAUUUGUGACAAGGGGCGCAAGCCUGAUCCAGCAAUGCCGCGUGCAGGAUGAAGGCCUUCGAGUUGUAAACUGCUUUUGUACGGAACGAAAAGCCCUUGGUUAAUACCCUGGGGUCAUGACGGUACCGUAAGAAUAAGCACCGGCUAACUACGUGCCAGCCGCCGCGGUAA